AAGUUCUAUAGAACUGUGGUCAAGUCAGCAAUGUUGCAUGGGAGUGCAUGUUGGGCAUCUAAGAUACAACAUAUUCACAAGAUGAAUGUGGCAAAGAUGUGAAUGUUUAGAUAGAUGUCUGGUAUUACAAUGAUGGAUAAAAUUAGAAAUGACCACAUUCACUAGCAUGCAUAUAGCACACAUUAGGAAUAAAAUGAGAAAGUAUCAAUUAAGAGGGAUCCAUAUAGCCAACCCCCAACUAAUUUGGAAUUAAGGCUUAG
rnacentral:misc_RNA from 1 species